rnacentral:rRNA from 1 species
UACGUGAGGCGCAAGCGUUGUCCGGAAUUAUUGGGCGUAAAGAGCUCGUAGGCGGUUUGUCGCGUCUGCCGUGAAAACCAGGGGCUCAACCCCUGGCUUGCGGUCGAUACGGGCAGGCUAGAGUUCGGUAGGGGAGACUGGAAUUCCUGGUGUAGCGGUGAAAUGCGCAGAUAUCAGGAGGAACACCGGUGGCGAAGGCGGGUCUCUGGGCCGAAUACUGACGCUGAGGAGCGAAAGCGUGGGGAGCGAACAGG